rnacentral:SRP_RNA from 1 species
GCCAGGCGUUGUGGCGGGCGCCUGUGGUCCCAGCUGCUUGGGAGGCUGAGGCAGGAGACUCGCUUGAGCCCAGGAGUUGGAGGUUGCUGUGAGCGUGAUGCCAUGGCACUCUACCCAGGGGGAUAGCUUGAGGCUCCGUCUAAAAAAAAAAAGAAAAAGAGUGUAGUAAGCUAUGAUCACAUUACUGCAUUCUAGCCUGGGUGACAGAGCAAGACCCUGUCUCUU